rnacentral:rRNA from 1 species
CAGCAGCCGCCGCGAUAAUACGUAGGUGGCAAGCGUUGUCCGGAUUUAUUGGGCGUAAAGCGAGCGCAGGCGGUCAAUUAAGUCUGAUGUGAAAGCCCCCGGCUCAACCGUGAAGGGUCAUUGGAAACUGUUAAACUUGAGUGCAGGAGAGAAAAGUGGAAUUCCUAGUGUAGCGGUGAAAUGCGUAGAUAUUAGGAAGAACACCAGUGGCGAAGGCGACUUUCUGGACGAAAACUGACGCUGAGGCGCGAAAGCCAGGGGAGCGAACGGGACUAGAUACCCCCGUAGUCCCUGUCUCUUAUAC